CUCUGACCUCGUUUGCCUCCCUCCACCGCACAUUUUGAGGCACCCCUGAGCGGUGCAUAGUUGCAGCAAGCUCCUCAGCAAGCCCACUGGGGCUGUCAGUCUUGACCAGUCCUGAGGAAGCUGUUUGCUUUGGGCACUUUUCUGCUUGUGAGAUGCAUCCCUUCGUAUGCUCAGUUCAGAGCAAAAUUGUUAUCUUCCCUACCUGUGAUCACAGCUAUUAAAUAAAUAACUGAAGGGAAUCUAUCUCCAGAGCAGGAUCAUCGCAGAGUUCUUCCCUACAAAUAACCGCCUCACUAAGAUGUUGUCAUCUUUGCAGACACAUCUUUACUUACUGCUGCAGGAAAUUGAAUAAUGCAUCACAUUUGUUGGAGAUUAUUGAUGUUUGGGUAGAAAAAAGAAGAGAAGAGGCAGAAGUUUUUUUGAGGACUCCCUGGGAGAAGAGAAGUGAGAAGAAGAGAAGCAGAGGGCAGUGCACCGGGAGAACAGUAUUUCUGAAGGUAAAGCAGGCGGUGAUGUGCUUUGCAGAGAGCUCUUCAUGGGCAGAACCAAAGCCAUGUGACCCAGGUUUCAGCUAAGGAGUUAUGUAC
rnacentral:lncRNA from 1 species